UGGGGAAUAUUGGACAAUGGGCGCAAGCCUGAUCCAGCCAUGCCGCGUGAGUGAUGAAGGCCCUAGGGUUGUAAAGCUCUUUCACCGGUGAAGAUAAUGACGGUAACCGGAGAAGAAGCCCCGGCUAACUUCGUGCCAGCAGCCGCGGUAAUACGAAGGGGGCUAGCGUUGUUCGGAUUUACUGGGCGUAAAGCGCACGUAGGCGGACUUUUAAGUCAGGGGUGAAAUCCCGGGGCUCAACCCCGGAACUGCCUUUGAUACUGGAAGGCUUGAGUAUGGUAGAGGUGAGUGGAAUUCCGAGUGUAGAGGUGAAAUUCGUAGAUAUUCGGAGGAACACCAGUGGCGAAGGCGGCUCACUGGUCCAUUACUGACGCUGAGGUGCGAAAGCGUGGGGAGCAAACAGG
rnacentral:rRNA from 1 species